GGAGAGGUGUCAGAGUGGUCGAAUGUGCCUGAUUCGAAAUCAGGUGUGCUGUCAAAGGUACCGGGGGUUCGAAUCCCUCCCUCUCCG
rnacentral:tRNA from 2 species